UGAAAAAUAAAUACUCACUAGUCAGUCCCAGUAAACCCGCUAGUGCCAAGACUAGCAUUUCGUCGCAGCCAACGUUGGCAACUUGGCAGAUAAACAUAGCAAUGAUAGCACUUGUCCAGGCUAAACCUUCUUUGAAGCCGUCGCGGGCUGGUCCGCUUCAUGCCCUAACCCCAUUGAGUCCCAUUCUUGUACGUAUCCGUACAAGCGAUCGUACAGAGUAUAUAUACGAGGAUUUGGUUCGAGUUGGUGAGAUCCAAUUCUUGUUUUGGACUAAUGGCCUUUUCUCUUUUGGCAAUUGAUUCUUCAGAUCCGAGACGAGACGCCGGUCGUGACCCGUAUGUCCCAGGCGUCGAUAGAGUACGGAGUGCGCCAGCCAGAACCAACGGCGUCGAAUCAGCGGGUUCAUCGUCACUUUGUAUGCGCUUCGUACGCGUCAGGUUUGCUAAGAUUUAUUUUUGUCUACACCGAUAGUUACUUAAUCGCCGUACUCUGGAAAAAGAAUGGUGCUGUGACUGGCCUUUAACUGCCCGGUCUCCGAAUCUGAUUAUCUGGCCUGUCCUAUCGUUCAUGCCGACCCCACGCUUGUUGACGGAAAUCAAUGAAUAUGCAGCUGUCACUAUGAUAGGAGCCAUUGACGGACCUAUCACUUCUUAUCACCGCAACAAUCCGUUAUCAUUCGUAAUCGAUAAGAUUUUUUUUUUUUUUUUUGUUUUUGUUUUUUUCGCUGUUUCUUUUUCUGCUUUUCGUUUUUCCUUGGAGAGCACAACAGGACUCGAUUGUGAUAUCGAAUCAAAAUUGACAUCACAGUUCCUGCCCUUGCAUUGGACUUUGCUUAUCGUACGUAUGUAUGUCCGCAUAUGAGUUCAGUCGGAGAUGCGCGCAUGCAUCGAAUGCAUUUGCCUCUUGCUGCGGUUCUUCGGAUUACAUCGAUGCAAGCAUGUGAAAUGCAGUGGCAACCCGACCAAUGAGACUGACUUGUUCCUGCAUAGAGCCGUAUUCUCUACGGAGUAGAGUCGCUACAUGAUAAGUUACAUUAUCUCGCAUUGAUCGAUGUGCAAGCACCACGCAAACAAACCACUUUGUUUCAUCGUCGAGUUUGAUAUGUUAGUUAGUUGUUAGUUAACUAUGUAGUUAGUUAAUACGUACUUUGAUUACGCAAAGGCACCCUUCCAAUUUCCCAGCUUCACCCACUCGAGACGCGAAAUGAAUUAUCGCAUGGAAUCAUAAGACAAGAACCGCCUUCUAGAACACCAUGCCAGAGUCGAAAACGGCAAUGGCAUGGAACUUUUCCCCCCUUAGGACAAGUGUCAGGAAGGAAUAUACGCCACGGCCUAGCGUGCUAACUUCUAACUUCCAAGUCUAGGCCUGUCAGACUGAGACUGUAACAGGAUUCUGAAUUUCUGACUGCGUACAU
rnacentral:lncRNA from 1 species